AAGAUUUAAAUCUUCUAAAUCCUUGCUUUUAGAGUUAUUAUGUCAUUACCUUAUA
rnacentral:sRNA from 1 species